rnacentral:rRNA from 1 species
GACGAACGCUGGCGGCGUGCUUAACACAUGCAAGUCGAGCGGUAAGGCCCUUUCGGGGUACGACGAGCGGCGAACGGGUGAGUAACACGUGGGUGACCUGCCUUUAGUCUCUGGGAGUAAAGCCGUCGGGAAAACCGGGGUACUAAUAACCGGAUAUGACUCCGCGGCGCAUGUUGUGGGGUGGAAAGCCUUGUGCGGCUGGAGAUGGGCCCGCGCUAUCAGCUUGUUGGUGGGGUGAUGGCCUACCAAGGCGACGA